GCCCCAGUCAUUGAAAAUUAACGAGCAGAUACUGCAAGCAAAAAGGACAGUGAAUGGUUGCAGCACAGAAUCCCUAGACUAGAUUGAUGGGUGUUCUUGGCUCUUUGAAGAUUUAAAGAAAAGAAAGCUUCACUCCUGAUUUGCUAUGUCAUGCCUUUGAGUCUGCAAUAAACA